AAAUGAAUAGACGGGGGCCCGCACAAGCGGAGGAACAUGUGGUUUAAUUCGAUGAUACGCGAGGAACCUUACCCGGGCUUGAAUUGCAUCUGAAUAUGCCGGAAACGGUAUAGCUAGCAAUAGCAGAUGUGAAGGUGCUGCAUGGUUGUCGUCAGCUCGUGCCGUGAGGUGUCGGCUUAAGUGCCAUAACGAGCGCAACCCUCAUCAUUAGUUACUAACAGGUCAAGCUGAGGACUCUAAUGAGACUGCCGGCGUAAGCUGUGAGGAAGGUGGGGAUGACGUCAAAUCAGCACGGCCCUUACGUCCGGGGCGACACACGUGUUACAAUGGGGGGGACAGCAGGCUGCGAAGUGGUGACACCGAGCGAAUCCUCAAACCCUCUCUCAGUUCGGAUCGAAGUCUGCAACCCGACUUCGUGAAGCUGGAUUCGCUAGUAAUCGCGCAUCAGCCAUGGCGCGGUGAAUACGUUCCCGGGCCUUGUACACACCGCCCGU
rnacentral:rRNA from 1 species